ACGGGAGGCAGCAGUGGGGAAUAUUGCACAAUGGGGGAAACCCUGAUGCAGCGACGCCGCGUGAGCGAUGAAGUAUUUCGGUAUGUAAAGCUCUAUCAGCAGGGAAGAAAAUGACGGUACCUGACUAAGAAGCUCCGGCUAAAUACGUGCCAGCAGCCGCGGUAAUACGUAUGGAGCAAGCGUUAUCCGGAUUUACUGGGUGUAAAGGGAGCGCAGGCGGUUUGGCAAGUCUGAAGUGAAAGCCCGUGGCUCAACCGCGGGACUGCUUUGGAAACUGUCAAACUAGAGUAUCGGAGAGGCAAGUGGAAUUCCUAGUGUAGCGGUGAAAUGCGUAGAUAUUAGGAGGAACACCAGUGGCGAAGGCGGCUUGCUGGACGAUAACUGACGCUGAGGCUCGAAAGCGUGGGGAGCAAAUAGGAUUAGAUACCCUGGUA
rnacentral:rRNA from 1 species